rnacentral:misc_RNA from 1 species
GGAAUAUUUCAAAUGGCUCAUCAUGAAUAUUUCAAUUGUUAUAAUAGUAAAUAGCCCACUGAAUCAAGAAUAUAUCAAUUGUUGUAAGAAACACAUACGCAAGAAUAUUCAACUCUUGCAAGAAGCACAUACUGUACAUCAACCAAUCAUUAGAUGGAUUCAAACAGAUGAUUAGCACUAUAGAGAUUCAAUAAAAGCUGCCCUUUUUUUUUUUUUUUUU